AAGCCAUGAUGAGAAUACUGUCUCAAAUAACCCUUAAAUAUGUCUCAUGCUUCAAAUAGUGUUUUCCUAUCUUCCUGAGCAAAGCCUUGGAUUCUAUUCCUUAUAU